rnacentral:sRNA from 1 species
AUGGCGAGUGUAGUGCUGCCGAGCGGAUCCCAGUGUGCGGCGGCAGCGGCGGCGGCGGCGCCUCCCGGGCUCCGGCUCCGGCUUCUGCUGUUGCUCUUCUCCGCCGCGGCACUGAUCCCCACAGGUGAUGGGCAGAAUCUGUUUACGAAAGACGUGACAGUGAUCGAGGGAGAGGUUGCGACCAUCAGUUGCCAAGUCAAUAAGAGUGACGACUCUGUGAUUCAGCUACUGAAUCCCAACAGGCAGACCAUUUAUUUCAGGGACUUCAGGCCUUUGAAGGACAGCAGGUUUCAGUUGCUGAAUUUUUCUAGCAGUGAACUCAAAGUAUCAUUGACAAACGUCUCAAUUUCUGAUGAAGGAAGAUACUUUUGCCAGCUCUAUACCGAUCCCCCACAGGAAAGUUACACCACCAUCACAGUCCUGGUCCCACCACGUAAUCUGAUGAUCGAUAUCCAGAAAGACACUGCGGUGGAAGGUGAGGAGAUUGAAGUCAACUGCACUGCUAUGGCCAGCAAGCCAGCCACGACUAUCAGGUGGUUCAAAGGGAACACAGAGCUAAAAGGCAAAUCAGAGGUGGAAGAGUGGUCAGACAUGUACACUGUGACCAGUCAGCUGAUGCUGAAGGUGCACAAGGAGGAUGAUGGGGUCCCAGUGAUCUGCCAGGUGGAGCACCCUGCGGUCACUGGAAACCUGCAGACCCAGCGGUAUCUAGAAGUACAGUAUAAGCCUCAAGUGCACAUUCAGAUGACUUAUCCUUUACAAGGCCUAACCCGGGAAGGGGACGCGCUUGAGUUAACAUGUGAAGCCAUCGGGAAGCCCCAGCCUGUGAUGGUAACUUGGGUGAGAGUCGAUGAUGAAAUGCCUCAACACGCCGUACUGUCUGGGCCCAACCUGUUCAUCAAUAACCUAAACAAAACAGAUAAUGGUACAUACCGCUGUGAAGCUUCAAACAUAGUGGGGAAAGCUCACUCGGAUUAUAUGCUGUAUGUAUACGGUACGUGAGAAGAUAAAAUGCUCUUCUACUAGAGUCAGUCACAUGGAGCUGCUACUUGUGAUUUACUCUCAAAGCUUUUGGUCAAGUUGAAAAUCAAAAACCAGUUGGUUUCCUUCUA